rnacentral:rRNA from 1 species
UACAGAGGUCCCAAGCGUUUGUUCGGAUUCACUGGGCGUAAAGGGUGCGUAGGCGGUCGGGUAAGUCUGACGUGAAAUCUCCAAGCUCAACUUGGAAAUGGCGUCGGAUACUAUUCGGCUCGAGGAGUGGAGGGGAGACUGGAAUUCUCGGUGUAGCAGUGAAAUGCGUAGAUAUCGAGAGGAACACCAGUGGCGAAGGCGAGUCUCUGGACACUUCCUGACGCUGAGGCACGAAAGCCAGGGGAGCAAACGGG